GCCGGCCAAAGGAAGAAAAAAAACCCUAGGUCGAAAAAUUCAAGGGAAAAGUGUGAAAAUUCAAGGAAACAAGUGACAAAAGGUAAGAUUUUUCAAUUCUAGCUUGUGAUCUACCUUUCCCAUACAUUUUUUUGCAUUUUUCACGGUUGAAUCACAUGAUUUCAUGAUGGGUAUCUUGCUAGCUGAACACUUAGAGAGAGGUUUUGAUGCUUGAUUUGGUUAGAUUUUAAGAUAUUUUAGUGUUUUUAGUUAGUGAUGUGUAGCAUGAAAAGCCAACAAGAAAAAUUCAUGUUCUUCCAUCACCCAUCAUUGGCCGAAUUCUCCAUGUGGAAUAUUGAGGAUGAUUUUGAUUUUAUUUUAAGUUAUUUGGUUAAGAAUUAGUGAUUUAUGAUGUGAGAAUCAAGUAGGAAAAAUUAUAGUGUUGAUGCACCCACCAUGGCCGAAUUAUCCAAGAGAAAAUGUGAGAAUGAUUUUGCCAUAUUUCAAGUUAUUUAACUUGUGUUUGAUGGUUUGGAGAAUUGGAAGAAAAAUGGAGUUAAUUGGAGUUGAAUUGGACGUAUUGGCCAAUUAAUCGGAUGAUAGAUCGAAUUAGGCCAAUACCGUUUUAUUUAUGUACAUAAUUGAAUUUAUAUGGAACAUCGUAUUUAGAUAGUUACCCGAGUAUUUCACAUCCCAUUUCAUGCAUUAGUAUAGAGCCUGAAUUGGUUUUAUAACAAUUUAGCACAAAUGUAGUAAAUGGCUUAUUGUGCAUUAUGUCUAGGUGGUGAGCAUUCUGGCAAAAGUAAAGAGAUAGUACCCGAGGAUCAAGAAUUGGAGUACUCGGAAUUUGACUCCCUAAAUAAUGAGUAACCUUACUAUCGUCUUAAUUAUCUAAAGUGAUUUUUAUCCGAUUUUGUGAUUUUAUGGAAAAUGAGUUUAAAUGGUAAAUUUUUAGGUUUUAUAAACAAAAUGUGUUAAAAUGAAAUGAUUUUAUAAAAUUGUCUUGAACUUGAAUGAUGGUUUUGAAAAUGGAGUAAUUGGAGACUAAUUGUUGUGUUCCAAAACAUGGUUUGAAUUGAAUGGCUUAUGAUAAUAUUUGCAUGAAUGGCUGAAUUGGUAUUUGUGUUGAAAAUGUAUGAACAGUUAAUUUGCCUUGAGAGGUUGUAAAAUAAAAUAAUUGUCAUGUCAUGCUACUGAAUUUUUAUUGUAUGAUGGGUUAUAAAUUAGUCGCUAUAAUGGACGAGUUCCGUGGACUAGCCUAUUAAAGGGGGCACGGUAACCCUAUUAUAUUCAUACCUCAAUAUGAGAGGCGCGGAUGGAUAACUCCUGAUGUUAACACUUUAAAGUUCACUUCACGACAAACCACCACGUAAGGGUGAACUCAGCCAAUGCCAAGGAACGGCUAUGUUUUCAAAAUAAAAACAUGAUUUAUGCGUACAUAACUUUUUAAAAGCCUUGGUGGACUCGGUUGGGAUAGCCCUCGAUCAAGGUAUCCCUGAUAACUGAGUAUGAGAAUGAUUUUGGCACGAGCCAAAGUUUUAAGAAAUUCAUAAGCCAUGUUGAUUACUCGAUUUAUAUAAAUUGAUUUUGUUUGGUUGAAACAAGUCGAAAGGUGAUGAAUUACAGUAUGUUAAACUAUUUUAUCUGUCUCCAUUUACUCGGCUUUAGAUAUUUUAGAUGGUAUUUGUUUACUCACAGGGAUUAUAUAAUCUCACCACCCUCCUCUCCACCCAUUUCAGGCUUAGAAUAGGCUGUAGAUAGCUGAUUUCAUCGAGGCUACCAUUGGAUUUGCAUCCUCCAAACUGUAGGUUCACAGUGUUUCUUACUUUUGGUUAUUCGGGGGCCCACUGGUUAUUGUAAAUUAAAUUAAAUGCUCUGGUUUACUAUAUUACAGUAUGUAUGAAUUUAUUUUGCUUUUACGCUGCAAAAAAUUAUUUACGUAUAAC
rnacentral:lncRNA from 1 species